AUAUCCCCUUAUCUCAUCUCAGUCGUUCCACUCACGGUAGUAGAAACCCUCGUCUCUCCCUCACUGCUCAUCUUACUCCUUGGCAACGAAAAGCCUCCUUGAUCAUGGUGAAAUCAAGAGGAUGACACUCCAAAUCACCAAAACAAAUAGGAAGAAGCACCAACCCUAAUCAGAGCUCUUUGCAAUUUUGAACACGAGGAACUCAGCCAUUUCUAAUCCAUCUUGAUCGGGCGAGAACCUCGCGGCAUGGAGGAAUCUGGUCAAGCAAAGGCAACCCGAAGUAAACACCUUCCCAAUUGUAUUCUUGGAACUCCUUGGGUCAAAAUCAACAUCACUCGGAAGACUCGCUCUUGAGUCGUCAAAACACAAUGGGUCAUCCUCAAAAAAAUAUUUGAUGACAUCUGCGACAUUAAAGGUCUUUGAAAUUCUCCAGUUGCUCGAUAGGUAAAUUACAUACGUGUUAUCAUUGAUAUUAAUAUAUUAUUGAUAAUCUUGAAGAAGAUAAACUUCUUUGGACUCAGCUUCUAAAAAUUUCUUAUUGAAAUUCUCUUUUUAUGGAUAAAAAACAUCAACUGGUCACCCACGUAGAAAG